UUCAUUUGCCACCGCCUACUGGUGUAACAGUUAAUCACGUUCUUUAUUUCAACAGCAAAGAAUGGUUAUUUGCAAAAUGUUUAAAGACUCAGAUGCAAAAUGUCUAAAGGCCCAGAUAGUUCCGCUGAACUUUGAGAAGAGUGUAACAUGAAAAUCCACAACAGAAAGGAAGGAUAUUGUUUUAAGGAGGACCGUAUGUUCGAACAUGGAAUCUUUAACGUUUUUAGAGAAAACAGUGUGAAUGUUAACCACAGGUCAUGGUGUCAGUGGAGGGGCCGACUGGAGUUUUGUAUGGCUGCAAGAAUACUGAUGUGAAUGAGUACAUACUGAACCCAGUGAAGAAGGUCAGAACCUGACAGAAAAGAAGAUCAGAUCAGAAGUCGUGGACAAAAAGGUUGUGACCUCUUUUGAUGUUCAGCAACAUGCAGGAAUAUUUUGUCUGGUUUCUUUUGGCAUGCCCUGCAUUGUUCAAUACAAAGGUCAGAUAACCGACAUCAUCUCAGUGUGUGAUCUGACAUGAAACUGUGUUAUGAGGGAAUAGUCCUAGGAGAUAAAGAAAUAAAGCAUGAGAGCUUGCACACAA